rnacentral:rRNA from 1 species
AUGACUCUCAGCAACGGAUAUCUUGGCUCUUGCAACG